UCCAGGGUAGCCUAGUGGACAUGGCAUCUGCCCGGUAAGCAGAACAUUGUGGGUUUGAUUCCCAUCCCCCUGGAC
rnacentral:tRNA from 1 species